rnacentral:rRNA from 1 species
GAUGAACGCUGGCGGCGUGCCUAAUACAUGCAAGUCGAGCGAACAGACGAGGAGCUUGCUCCUCUGACGUUAGCGGCGGACGGGUGAGUAACACGUGGAUAACCUACCUAUAAGACUGGGAUAACUUCGGGAAGCCGGAGCUAAUACCGGAUAAUAUAUUGAACCGCAUGGUUCAAUAGUGAAAGACGGUUUUGCUGUCACUUAUAGAUGGAUCCGCGCCGCAUUAGCUAGUUGGUAAGGUAACAGCUUACCAAGGCAACGAUGCGUAGCCGACCUGAGAGGGUGAUCGGCCACACUGGAACUGAGACACGGUCCAGACUCCUACGGGAGGCAGCAGUAGGGAAUCUUCCGCAAAGGGCGAAAGCCUGACGGAGCAACGCCGCGUGAGUGAUGAAGGUCUUCGGAUCGUAAAACUCUGUUAUUAGGGAAGAACAAAUGUGUAAGUAACUAUGCACGUCUUGACGGUACCUAAUCAGAAAGCCACGGCUAACUACGUG